AAAAAAAAAAAUUGCCAUUUUAUCAUUAUUUAUUAAUAGUGCGAAUUGAAAAUACUGAGUGCAAAAUAAAAUAUAUAUAGGUCUGUGUUUAUUGUUUACAUUUCAUCUACUUCCGGACCCGGUGUGUCCUAAAUUUACGAAGAAAUGGUUGAAGACUAGAUCUAGAUCUACAUCUAUUUCUAGACAUAGAUCUCUAGAUCUACUGAUCUAGUAGUAGUAGUCUAGGUCUAGAUAUUAGAAUUAGAUCUAUUCUUAGAAUCUACCUCCAAGAAUGAAAUCAGCUCAGCCUUGAGUUGGACGACACGCUUUAACACUUUUCCCUGGAGAGCCAAUGAACGUUUGUGUGAUACAGGAGACAUUAGUAGUCUGAAUCCAUUGCUUCACAAAGCUCUGAGGAAAGUCAGAAUGCAAGCGGUCGAGAUUUGAGGAAGUUUACAACUUCAAUCACUUGAUCCAGAACAGACAUCAAAUAUUUGAAGGCAAGAGCUUCUCUAUGGAUCAUGCAGUGAACAACUAAUACAUUUGGAUUUUCUUGACGCACAAGAGUGAAGAAUCCCUUUCUAUUUCCCUGCAUGGAAGGACAGCCAUCGGUGCAAACGCUGACACAGUUUGUCUCCACUGUACUUUGAAAAUGUUUUCGUUCACCACUUAAAAAUAUCUUCGCCUUUGGUCGUAGUUGGUGGUGAUUUUAUUGUUUACCAUGGAGUUGUCUACUUUUCAAAUUUUACUGACCAAGUUUGUACAGUGACUGAUCCAUCUGCAGUUUCCGAACCAGUAACUGAUAUCUCAAAAAAAUAUUGCUAUACUGAUGGUGUCUGUCACCUCAGAUGAUCAACAUGAUUUGUUCAUUGAAAGACACUUGAAGGUGUAAGUUGUAAAAGGUUUUGAAAGACUUGCCAAAGCAAGGCCUUCUUGACAGGGAUAAACAUUGGGAGCAGCUCUAGCUGACUCAGCUCAGAGGAUGACAUCACAGUUAAUUGACAUCUUUCUUUAAAAAUGCAUGGAUUAUCUU